rnacentral:lncRNA from 13 species
GACAUCAGAGAACUCCUAAACCGCUCCUGGUGCCAAAACCAAACCUGUGAUCUUCCUGCUCUAUUUCUACUCAAUGUAGAAUCUUCCACUGCUGUUACUGCUUUACUGAACUCCCCUGCCUCAUCAGGGCAGCUGCCAUUUCUCCACUUUGUGACAUUUCAAUUUUCUCUUCAAGGCCAGGAUACUGAAAUUCCGCAGGAGUGUACCAGAGAUGCCAAAGUUCUUUGCAUAUUUUCAUCUGGUGCUGUGCAAUCCACUCUGGGAACUCUUUGUCAUGCUGAAGCUCACCUGACCUUGCAGAAAAGGUGUCUAAUACAAAAAAAGGUAGGCUUUUCAACAAUAACAACAAAUUCCAUUUGGUUACAGGAUAAUCAGCUAAAAGUAUUGUUGAUACACAAGACCCAUAUCAAAAAUUAUUAACUCCACAAAGAGAGAAACACAGUGAGGAAGCAUCAUGUCACCUUAUCACAUCAUGAAGUAAGAGACUAUAUUAAGAGUAAAAUCAACUGUUACUCCAUUUGUUUUCAGUGAAUUUGUGUACGUUUCUGUGUAUUUUCUGGUAUGUUUAAUUAUUCCUGUGCGGCUGUCAUGGGAAGGAAGUGGUAUUCAGUAUACUAGGUGUCUGAGACAUAUAAUAAGGAUUAAAAAUAAAUUAAUUCCUCCAACUUUGCCAAGCCAGAGACUAAAAAGGUGCAGUUCAUUCUGUAAUGAAUGUUGUAUGCUGUAUCAAAUUAAUCUUUCAGAGCCCCCUAUCCCUAAGGAAGUCAAGAUCUUCUGUCAUGAUACACUUUUCUUUCAUUAUCUUCAAACACAGAGCAACUAAAUAUAUAAAGGCCUAAUGUUGACUCAUUAAACAAAAGGAUGCUUAUUUCCACAGUCACUGUUCUGUGCAAAUUGAAUGAGUUUUAACAUAAAAAUAAUGUAAGUAGCUCAGUCUUCAUCAGACAGGAAUAUUUUGCAGACAUACACAAGUUUGGCAACAUUAAAAAUCUGGGGCAGAGCAAAAAGCAGAAAAAAAUGGUACAGAUGACAAAAUUAAACAACAAAAGAAGGGGGUCUCAACAGUUCUUGUGAGAACAAUCUGGAAAUAUCUGUCUGUAAUAACAUCUAGAGCACCAGAAAAAUAUUUUUUAGUCUGUCUGUUCUGGAAAAGAAAAAAAAAAAAAAGACACAAUUACUGCUGAAGAGAAAUGUGACAUUUCCAAGACAAGGGCAGUACACCAAUGAUGAUUGUAUUCGGCUUUUUUCUCCUCAAAACUCAGAUUUUAUAAAGUCAGCCAUAAUAUUGU